AUACGGAGGGGGUUAGCGUUGUUCGGAAUUACUGGGCGUAAAGCGUACGUAGGCGGACUGGAAAGUUGGGGGUGAAAUCCCGGGGCUCAACCCCGGAACUGCCUCCAAAACUUCCAAUCUAGAGAUCGAGAGAGGUGAGUGGAAUUCCAAGUGUAGAGGUGAAAUUCGUAGAUAUUUGGAGGAACACCAGUGGCGAAGGCGGCUCACUGACUCGAUACUGACGCUGAGGUACGAAAGCGUGGGGAGCAAACAGGAUUAGAAACCCCUGUAGUCC
rnacentral:rRNA from 1 species